GUCAUAGUGAUCCGGUGGUUCUGUAUGGAAGGGCCAUCGCUCAACGGAUAAAAGGUACUCUGGGGAUAACAGGCUGAUACCGCCCAAGAGUUCAUAUCGACGGCGGUGUUUGGCACCUCGAUGUCGGCUCAUCUCAUCCUGGGGCUGUAGCCGGUCCCAAGGGUAUGGCUGUUCGCCAUUUAAAGAGGUACGUGAGCUGGGUUUAAAACGUCGUGAGACAGUUUGGUCCCUAUCUGCCGUGGGCGUUGGAAGUUUGAAGGGGGCUGCUCCUAGUACGAGAGGACCGGAGUGGACGAACCUCUGGUGUACCGGUUGUGACGCCAGUCGCAUCGCCGGGUAGCUAUGUUCGGAAGAGAUAACCGCUGAAAGCAUCUAAGCGGGAAACUCGCCUUAAGAUGAGACUUCCCCGGGGACUUGAUCCCCUUGAAGGGUCGUUCGAGACCAGGACGUUGAUAGGUCGGGUGUGUAAGCGCAGUAAUGCGUUCAGCUAACCGAUACUAAUUGCCCGUACGGCUUGAUCCUAUAACA
rnacentral:rRNA from 1 species